rnacentral:rRNA from 1 species
UACAGGGGGGGGCAAGCGUUGUUCGGAAUUACUGGGCGUAAAGGGCUCGUAGGUGGCCAACUAAGUCGGACGUGAAAUCCCUCAGCUUAACUGGGGAACUGCAUCCGAUACUGGAUGGCUUGAGUUUGGGAGAGGGAUGCGGAAUUCCAGGUGUAGCGGUGAAAUGCGUAGAUAUCAGGAGGAACACCGGUGGCGAAGGCGGGUCUCUGGGCCGAUACUGACGCUGAGGAGCGAAAGCGUGGGGAGCGAACAGG